ensembl:lncRNA
UUUCCCAUACCAACAUGGAUUUAUUAGGACUGUACACGAGACAGACACAUUGUGCCUUUGUCAACAGGUAAAGGGAAACUACACCAUUUUAAUUUCCUUCAGGAUUCUUUAUUGAAGUGUCAGUUUGGUUUUGCUUUGAUUAACAUAGUAAUGGUCAUUUACAGUGAACUUAUUACAAAACAAAACCAACAUAACAGAAAGGGAGAAAAAAAACUCCACGAUUUCAAUGUGGUCACAAACACAAGUCCUGCAGUCAAUCACCUUCAGCAGGGUUUUAAGAAACCUGAGACAUCUGGUUUUCAGGGAUACAGUAUCUUCAACCUAGCUUCUUUUCCCCCUGAAAGCCAAAUGUGGGGCUUUUACACCUGCUACAUUAGGUCAUACAGUCACUAACUGUCUGGUGCUUCCUCUUGCAAGAUUUUAUAGGGUAGCGACUCACUGAGGGGUCUGGCCCUCUUAGACUCCCUGCCUGCUCCUCCCUCUAGCCUGGCUGUAGGCCACUCCUCCACUGUAGGGAACAACACUAGUCUGUCAUAUGAUGACACCAUGCAUUUAGGAUGGACAGAAUCCUUGUCUCCUUCACCCUUGUGCUCACUCCCUCAACCCCUUAUUAAAUUUGAGUCUCCUUUACACAGAGAACCUUAGCUGCUCACCCUGGCGGCCACCCUAUAGGGAUGGCCAAGUUUAUCCGCGGCUAAGUUGAUAUUCCACUAUUUAAAAAAAAAGGUGCUAUAUAGAACCAUAAAUGGUUAUUUGGAUGUCGCCAUAGGAGAACCCUUUGAAGAACCCUUUUUGGUUACAGGAAAGGGUUCUCAUAUGGGGACAGCUGAAGAACCCUUUUUUCUAAGAGUGGAAGGUAGGGAACUUGCUAUAAACUGCCAAUCAGCUCAGAUCUAAGAGCUGAGGCUGUCAUACAGUGUAGUCAAGUUUGUGGUCAUACACACAUCCUUAAAAAUACUGAUAUUUUGACCUGAUGAAGAUGUUCUGGCUUUACCUGAUUACCAAGAGCUGUAGAGCAACAUCCGGGUAGGGAGGAGCCUGCCUGGACAGCACCCAAUCACUAUCUGCUCACUGUUCUGCUAUUGGUGGACGACAACAAGUGAGUUGGCUCAUUCACAUCAUCAGUGCAGAGACUAUCCUCAUCAUCAGUAGGGAGGGUUAGGUGACAAACAGAACUGUGAACACACAAACCAGCACGUCUACUGUACAUUCAAUCACACACACUCCAGGGACCACGCAUGGAUGGACUAGCUAAGGUGUGGCAUCGCAGUGAUGCUAGGCAGGAUGCACAUGUACUGUAGUCCAUUUCAAAUAAACGCAUCACAGCGUAGACAUUUACAUAAUAUAUCAAUAAGUCGACUGUUUCCCUAAAAGGCUUCAAAGCACAUUUGACCCAGGUUGUUGACUGGUCUACUAUGAGCUCUGUAAGAGGUCAUUGUCCAUCUCUGUACAAAAACACAUCCUUCCUAUUUCUCCAGAGGUGGAACAUGUUACUACUCUAAUUGCCCAAUGCUAACAUUAAUACUAUUUCAAAUGGUACAUUCUGACAAAUAUGGCUUAACAGGCUAAAAACCAAAGAUGUUGAAUAUGUUCUGUGAUGUUUUCUACUGAAACAUCGGGAGGGUACUGUAUUGUCCACAUCCUGAACAUGUGAGAAAGCUAUGCUGAAUAGUUUUUAGUGUAAUGAGUGUACAUAUCAUACAGAGCACACACAGAGAGGAGCAGAGCAGGUCUUGCUGCAGAGCCUGUCCACAUAACAGGGUCAUGAUUAGGAUUUUACAUUCACACCUCUCAGCCUCCACUCAUUUUCAACGGUUUCAUACAAACCAUAGGAAUAUAAAAAAUAAGUCGAUAAACACCUUAUUCAUAUAUUCACGUAAUACAUAUUAUGUCUAGGAUCCUAACUGCUGCAAGUUGCUGCGAACGGAACAGACACAAAAAAUAUGUUGAGGUGACCUGCGCUGGAAGCGGCUGAUUUUAUUGCAUUUCAUUGCAAGGUGCGAUCAUCAUGCUCUAUAUAUUUUUGCUCUAUAUAUUUUCAAAAUGCUCUUAUGUUUUCUCUCUUUUUUUCUAUGAUGUAUUACUGCUUGAGCUUCAAAGGGCGCUGGGUGAUGAUGUCAGAGACCUAAGCUUUGGUUACCACGCCACACAUUACAUGGGUCCAAUGACGUUUCACCUACUGGGAACAUCUUCCCUGACCGUAACCUCACCCACCGUCUAACCUGAAAUCGUGACUUUCCAGACAGGGAAAUAUCAUUGGACCUAAAGGAAGAGAAGCACCAUAAGAAGCACCCACCCACUGGGCACAGACGUCACUUCAACGUCUAUUCCACGUUGGUUCAACGUAAUUUCAUUGAACUAAUGUGGAAACAACGUUGAUUCAGCCAGUGCCCAGUGGGUAAGAAGCUACAGCAGCGGGGGGCGGCACAGUACAGCACUGUCCUACAGAGCAGUCAGAUGCAAAAAUAGUCUAGUGUGGUGAGAAGAAGUACAAGACUGGCAUUGACAUUGUUGUGGUCCUCUACACAAUAUGCCUGUGUGUGUGUGUGUGUGUGUGUGUGUGUGUGUGUGUGUGUGUGUGUGUGUGUGUGUGUGUGUGUGUGUGUGUGUGUGUGUGUG